rnacentral:rRNA from 1 species
ACACUCCUACGGGAGGCAGCAGUGGGGAAUUUUGGACAAUGGGCGAAAGCCUGAUCCAGCAAUGCCGCGUGUGUGAAGAAGGCCUUCGGGUUGUAAAGCACUUUUGUCCGGAAAGAAAUCCUUGGCUCUAAUACAGUCGGGGGAUGACGGUACCGGAAGAAUAAGCACCGGCUAACUACGUGCCAGCAGCCGCGGUAAUACGUAGGGUGCGAGCGUUAAUCGGAAUUACUGGGCGUAAAGCGUGCGCAGGCGGUUUGCUAAGACCGAUGUGAAAUCCCCGGGCUCAACCUGGGAACUGCAUUGGUGACUGGCAGGCUAGAGUAUGGCAGAGGGGGGUAGAAUUCCACGUGUAGCAGUGAAAUGCGUAGAGAUGUGGAGGAAUACCGAUGGCGAAGGCAGCCCCCUGGGCCAAUACUGACGCUCAUGCACGAAAGCGUGGGGAGCAAACAGGAUUAGAAACCCCUGUAGUCCCAUGAU